CCAUCCUGUUAGUAAUUUCCUCCUUUGAAAGCUUUACUCCAUUAACAACCAACAUCAGACAACCACAUCGCGGAGACUCUCACCUGCCCAGUGCCAGGUGUGUGUGUCGUGGGUGGGAGGGAAGGGGGGGGGGGCAGGGAGGGCAGCUGGGGAUUCGCCUGACAGUGACCUAACAAACACAUUUUAAAACUGAGAUUAUAUGACUGUAUAUUUAUUUGUGGCACGGGGUGGGGAAGUUGAUGGAGAUUACUAGUCAAAGGUGCUAAAAACUGCUCAGGCUACUCCUUGGCACCACUGGGGACAGCGCUUUCUCUGCUUCAAUCCAGACUUUCAGAAAUUAACAUCCAUUAAAAAAUGCUGAGGAAGUACUGCAUAAUCAAGGAUUCUGUAUACUGACUUAAAAGAUGUUAUCCAUGGUCAGCUGCAGUCCAGAAGCAGGUGAUCUUCCUUCUGACAUAUUGUCAGAAAGUCAGCAGUAGUCUGCCAGUACAUUACCAAGUCCACACCAUUCAUGUCACUUCAUCUCAUCACGGAGGCAUUUUAUCAUCUCGCAUUAUCAAAAGAACAAGGGUGAUGGCAGCUUGGAAGCUGCGUUGGCAAAGAAAGGUCUGGCCAAGCGAGAAGGUCUGGACAUUUUAAACAGCAGCAAAAACAACAAUAAAAGGAACCAACCCCAGAAUGUUACCUGCUGGGGCAGCGGAUUCUAUUCCUCUGAGCUUCACGUUCCAGCUGCCACAGUUACAGCCUAAAGUGCAGUUGGAUGGGAAGUGCCGGGCUGCCACUUGGAUUUCUUUUGAACAAAAGGCAUCGUGCAGCCACACAGCCCAUUUACUAGACCUGUGGAAUGUAAAUGUGUGUUUCAGAGACCCUGGUGACAGUUUUGCGAUGGUAAAUGCUCCAACUCAGAGUGAACGGCAGAUGCUGGAAUAUGAAAUGCAGAACACACACACACACACACACACACACACACACACACACGGAACUUCCUGGCAUGCACAGACGAGACACCGGACGGACAGCCUAGAAGUGGAAAAUGAAUGUAAAUAUUACCCCACCCACUCAGGUACAGUAUACAGAAAUGAUCCAGAUGUGCGGUUUAUAUUACUAUGAAGUGCAUACCACAUUCGGUUUCCAGGCAUUAGUUCAAGCAAAUAUUUCCUCGCCUUAGCACAUUCCUAUAUUAUAUUCCAAAAGUUGACCGUGUAACGAAUGCCCACCUACAUAAUUACUUCUCCUGCUGUUUAUAGAACAUGCAUAGCACCAUGGAAAAGAAGGAAACAGAAGAAUAGAAUUUCCAUACCCGUUUGGGCUGCUGUGGGGUACUUACUGAUUGAUAAGAAGUGUCGUGUGUCCUUGUGACAUUGGACGUGUGUGUAUGUUGUGUGAGUUGCGUGCACGCGUAUGUGGCGAGGAGGGGCGCCGGGGGAAGAGAGAGAAAUUAUUUUGCUUUUUAAAGAGCUUAGACUUUAUUCUAAUCAACGAAUAAAUACUUGUUAUUACCAGGCUUUCUAGAAGACCAACAGUGAUAUAAAAAUAAAGUGUGUUCAAGGGGUAAUAUUUUUUUAGGCUGAAAAUAUUGCUUCGACCAACUGAACACAUAGCCCGUACCGGGAGCCCACAACCCCUUCCCCACCAAGGGUAACCAGUUUCCUCUUAGUUUCCCCUGUCAGUGAUUUUUAUGACUUGAGGUUAAGCUGUUUCCAACCUCAAUUAUUCUGUGUUCCCUUAGGGAGAGUCUCACCAGCUCUCUCUGAACUAUAAAAAGGUUCUGUGAAUAUGUGAUCAUCCGACUCCACUCCAAGUGUAAAUACCAUGCCAUUCCCCAUUUAUAGUUGAUAAAUGCACAGCUACUUAGCACUUUAUCAGAGGCAGAAUUAUGCUCUGGAAAGAGUAUAAAAUUUUGGAAUCAAUUGGACAUGAAGUUACUUCUAACUUCUAAAUUGGGCUCAGCCUUGGGCAAGUUUUUUUCUCAUCAACAUGUGACAGCUCCGCACCUUGUCUGGCACGUGAUAGCACUCAAGGAAUGUGAGUUUCUUUACCCUGUCCUUCCACAGACCUACAGUCAGCCACACUCUGUCUCAGAAGCUGGAAUGAUGGUGUAUUCCCGGUGCACCUUGGUGCUGCAGUUGGGUGGUGGUUUUUCCUAAGUUUUAUCUGCUUUCCAACCUGCAGGAUAGCCUUUAGGUGACUGAAAAGACGCAGAUGACAACUGACAUGCAACUGAGGAUGUAAAGGCAACACGUACACUAAGGACAAGAAAGGUGCCACCGUAGACAAAAAUCUAUAGGCUGCUGCAGGGCCCCAGCUCUCCUUGAGACAGUGAUGAUGGUUAAUAGCAAUGCUUAACAGUUACUGUGUAUUUAUUAUAAACCCAGACUGUGCUAAGUCAUUUAUCCCUCACAGUUACCCUGAGAAGUAGGUACAGGUACUAUUAUUAUCCCAUUUUACAGAUGAAUAAACUGAAGUACUCACUGGCCUAGAAGCUCGCCCAAGAUCUCACUUAUAGUUCAUACUGAAUCUGGGAUUUGAACUCAGCUAAUCUGUCCCCAGGGUUUGCUCUCUUCUCCAGAAAUCAAAAAGUCUGGCUGUAAAUCCACAUUAGGCACUGAGUGUGAAUAUUCAGUGAUCGUUCAGUCACAGAGGUACCUGGGAAAAGUGCUUCUGCCUCUCAGGUGUCAUGUGCCAGACCCCCACUGCACCGCAACCCUACACCUACAAGAGCCGGGGACAGGAGGCGUGUCUGAGUUUAGUGUCAUGGGGAUCAAGC